rnacentral:rRNA from 1 species
GACGUAGGGCGCGAGCGUUGUCCGGAUUUACUGGGCGUAAAGAGCGCGCAGGCGGUCGUUCAAGUCGCGUGUGAAAGCCCCCGGCUCAACUGGGGAGGGUCACGCGAUACUGAUCGACUCGAAGGCAGGAGAGGGUAGUGGAAUUCCCGGUGUAGUGGUGAAAUGCGUAGAUAUCGGGAGGAACACCAGUGGCGAAGGCGACUACCUGGCCUGUUCUUGACGCUGAGGCGCGAAAGCUAGGGAGCAAACGG